GGCUCUGUAGCUCAAUUGAAAGAGCAUCGGUAUACGGAACCGAAAGUUGCAGGUUUGAGUCCUGCCAGAAUCA
rnacentral:tRNA from 1 species